CGCAAGCCUGACGGAGCAACGCCGCGUGAGGGAGGAAGGCCUGUGGGUUGUAAACCUCUUUUCUCAGGGAAGAAGUUCUGACGGUACCUGAGGAAUCAGCAUCGGCUAACUCCGUGCCAGCAGCCGCGGUAAGACGGAGGAUGCAAGCGUUAUCCGGAAUUAUUGGGCGUAAAGCGUCCGUAGGCGGUUUAGAAAGUCAGUUGUUAAAGCCCACAGCUCAACUGUGGAUCGGCAAUUGAAACUACUGGACUAGAGAGUGGUAGGGGUAGAGGGAAUUCCUAGUGUAGCGGUGAAAUGCGUAGAUAUUGGGAAGAACACCAGUGGCGAAGGCGCUCUACUGGGCCGUAACUGACGCUGAGGGACGAAAGCUAGGGGAGCG
rnacentral:rRNA from 1 species